rnacentral:rRNA from 1 species
GAGUAAAGAUGCUCGUUAAGCGCAGAAGGACGAUAAGACCCCGGGACCUUUACUAUACCUUGGUAUUGGCAUUCGGUGUGGAUUGUGUAGCAUAGGCGGAAGGCUUCGAAGCCACGGCGCCAGCCGCGGUGGAGCCGCAAGGUGAAAUACCGCUCUGUUCGCAUUGGAUGUCUAACCUCGACCAGUCAUCCUGGUCAGGGACAGUGCCUGGCGGGUAGUUUAACUGGGGCGGUUGCCUCCCAAAGAGUAACGGAGGCGCUCAAAGGUUCCCUCAGCCCGGUUGGCAAUCGGGUGGCGAGUGUAAGUGCACAAGGGAGCUUGACUGCGAGACUGACGGGUCGAGCAGGGACGAAAGUCGGAACUAGUGAUCCGGUGCCGGUGUACGGACGCGGCAUCGCUCAACGGAUAAAAGGUACCCCGGGGAUAACAGGCUGAUCAUUCCCAAGAGUCCAUAUCGACGGGAUGGUUUGGCACCUCGAUGUCGGCUCGUCGCAUCCUGGGGCUGGAGCAGGUCCCAAGGGUUCGGCUGUUCGCCGAUUAAAGCGGCACGCGAGCUGGGUUCAGAACGUCGUGAGACAGUUUGGUCUCUAUCCUCUGCGCUCGUCGGAAUGUUGAGGAGGCCUGCCCAUAGUACGAGAGGACCUGGGUGGACGAACCUCUGGUAUGCCGGUUGUCACGCCAGUGGCACGGCCGGUUGGCUACGUUCGGAAGGGAUAACCGCUGAAAGCAUCUAAGCGGGAAGCCUGCUCCAAGAUAAGCAUUCCAUAGGACUACGGGUCCUUGAAGUCCCCAUGCAGAACACGUGGUUGAUAGGCCGGACGUGGAAGCCCCGCGAGGGGUGGAGCCGACCGGUACUAACGGACGAAAGGCAACACAAUCAUCCAACCCCGGUUGG